GAGAGCAAAAUAAAUAAAUGCAUUUCUUAAGUGUCAUUUUAAUCGCCCCACUUCUGCUGUGUGCCCACAAUGUGCAGGCCUACCGCUUCUUGGGCGUUCUUCAUAGCCGAAUCAAAUCACAUAAUAUCGUCGGCACAGCACUGCUGAAGGAGUUGGCGCGUAGGGGUCAUCAUGUCACCGUCAUAUCGCCAUUUCCACUAAAAAAACCAAUGGAUAAUUAUGUUGACAUAGAAACAUAUCAACCGUCACCAAUCGACUCAGCGGGAGGGCACGUUUUGCAAUCUCGUUCGAGCAGUAUUGUAGAAAGUAUAUUGAUUUUCCAAGCAAUGGGGCUUAAUAUGACGCGCACGUUCCUAGAAGAAAGCAAUCUUAAAGCACUACUUGCUAGUAAUCAGACCUUCGAUGCUGUUAUUUGUGAAGUUUUUCUCGCUGAGGCGCUCUAUGGACUAAGUGAACAUUACAAUGUGCCACUAAUAGGUCUAGGCACCUUUGGCGCACAUCCCUGGAAUACGGAUAUGGUCGGCUCACCCAGCCCACCUUCGUAUGUGGCUAGCGCUUUUCUGUCAUUCAACGAACGUAUGACGCUGUGGCAACGUGUGAGCAACUUUGCGUUUGGCAUUUUCGAACGAUUGUCACUCGAUCUGUAUUAUUUGCCGAAACAAGCAGCUCUGUACAAGGAAUACUUUCCCGACAACAAACGUGAUAUGUACGAAGUGCGUCGCAAUGCUGCCUUGGUGCUACUCAAUCAGCACGUCUCGCUGAGUUUCUCACGUCCUUAUGUCCAUAAUCAGAUCGAAGUUGGUGGCAUGCACAUCAAUCGAAAACGCUCACCACUACCAGCCGAUUUGGAACGAUUUAUCAACGAAGCGAAUCACGGAGUAAUCUACUUCUCAAUGGGUUCCUAUUUGCGUAGUGAGUUUAUGUCUUUGGAUAAACGUCAGGCAAUACUUGAAACAUUCCGUGGCUUGAAACAGCGUGUGCUUUGGAAGUUCGAAGAUCCAAAACUCGAAGGUAAACCGGAUAAUGUUUAUAUUAGCGAAUGGUUUCCACAGGACGACAUUUUGGCACAUCCCAAUGUGAAAUUCUUCAUUACGCAUGGCGGUUUACUCAGUACCACUGAAUCCAUUUAUCAUGGCAAGCCUUUUAUUGGCAUACCGAUCUUUGGCGAUCAGUUCCUCAAUAUGAAUCGUGCUGAAACNGGNGGCUAUGGUAUAGGUGUGGAUUACAAUGGUUUCACGAAAGAGNAAUUCCAGUCGGCCAUUGAACGUAUGUUGAAUGAUGAGAGCUAUACGAAACGUNUAGCGGAUAUAUCAGCACAAUAUCGCGAUCAACCGAUGAAUCCAUUGGACUUGGCGGUCUAUUGGGUAGAAUAUGUGGUGAGGCAUAAGGGUGCAAGGCAUUUACAUUGCGCCGGACAAGAUUUGAACUUCAUACAAUAUCAUAGUAUUGAUAGCAUGUUGAUCAUAUUUGGCGGUCUUACUUUAGAGCUGCUGCUGAUCUUGCUGCUGAUACGUUCUGUAUGGGGUUGGUUACAAUUUGCGCUUGCGCGAAAGGAUAUCAAGAAGAAGACUCAAUAAAUUAAUAUUAUUAUUUUGUUAUUAUUUUAUUGAAAAGGAUAAUACAAUUAUACCUUGACAUUCUAAAAUUUUCUAGCAUUAGCGACUAAGGUCAUCAGCUUCUUACUAUAGACUCACUAAAACGUGAGAAUUAUUUUUAGUUAUUUGUUGUUAAUUAAUUAUUUGUUUAUGCUUUAGAUAAUAAAUAUUUUUGUUAAUAAAAAACAAGAAUAAUAUUUGUCGAAGCAGUUGGAAAGUUCAAAGCAUAUUGAUGGCUAAGUGUACUGGCAGAAAAAUGUUGAUAUUCUUAUACUGUAUCACCUUCACAUAGUCCGCCUUCUGUGUAGAAGAAGCGGCUUACUACAAAAAAUUCUCGAAGUAUCAUAAAUCGACUUGCUGAGGGGAAUUAAAAAGCGCAAAGUUUUCCCACCAACUGACAACCAAAUCCAUGCUGCAUAAUCGUCAAUCAGGCCAACCUGUGUGCCUUGCUCCCGCCGUCAUAUUUCAUUCGAAUUCUGAGUGCAAUGAGUCUACAAACAGGACACUCCCAGCUUCAUGCAUUACCAAAUAUCAAAAGUCUGGCCACAGUUGAUGCUGAAUGACCCCAGAAAGAGUCAGUGAAGCGUUUGAUUCGUGUUGACAGCAUAUUAUUUCGAGCGGCGAUUGUGCGGCGCUUUCGCUCUAAUAAAAAUGUAUUAAAGCAUUGGUUUUUAUUACACCCACAGGCAUUUGUUAUUUGCAUUCGCCUUAGUUGCUAUUGUUGUUACAGCAAUUGUUCAUCUCAUUCACUUCAAGGCCAGAGAAAUUUUCCAAAUAAUAUUUGCAUAUAAAUUCAAGCUGGGUUCUUCACAGUACUUUACGGUGGAAUGGAUCGUGUGUCCGCGUGUCGUUUGUUUGUUUUUGAUUAUAAAAUCUGAAAAUCAAUACUAAAAGUGUAGUUUCCUUUAAAUUAUUGCACAAGCUAGAGAAGUGAAAUAAUUAGAAACCAUGGGUGUGUAAAAAACAAUUUUUAAUUUAAAAUAAAUUUUUAGUAUAUAUGUA
rnacentral:misc_RNA from 1 species